UGGUAACUAAAUAAUAAGUGAGCUCGAAAUAUUUGUAAAUUGGUCAACAACUGAAUCAUGACUAAAAGGCCGAAUCAAUUGUAUUGCCGACUUAUCUUGCUGCUUAUCAUAGGCUAUGUAGUGCUGCAGUGCUGCAGCUUUUACCUUAUGGACAGUGCGAACAUAAAGUCGAGAGACGAUUCAGUGAAUAAGAAUAUAACUAAAUAUUUAAAUAUUAUAUAUCCUUUUAUGAUGGAUGUCAACACUGCACAGAUGAUAUCUAAUG